UCCCUGGUGGUCCAGUGGUUAAGACUCACGUGCUCCCGAUGCACGGGGCCCAGGUUCGACCCCUGGUCGGGGAA